CCUACGGGAGGCAGCAGUGAGGAAUAUUGGUCAAUGGACGCAAGUCUGAACCAGCCAUGCCGCGUGCAGGAAGACGGCUCUAUGAGUUGUAAACUGCUUUUGUACGAGGGUAAACGCAGAUACGCGUAUCUGUCUGAAAGUAUCGUACGAAUAAGGAUCGGCUAACUCCGUGCCAGCAGCCGCGGUAAUACGGAGGAUUCAAGCGUUAUCCGGAUUUAGUGGGUUUAAAGGGUGCGUAGGCGGUCGGAUAAGUUAGAGGUGAAAUCCCGCGGCUCAACUUCGGAAUUGCCUAUGAUACUGUUCGGCUAGAGAGUAGUUGCGGUAGGCGGAAUGUAUGGUGUAGCGGUGAAAUGCUUAGAGAUCAUACAGAACACCGAUUGCGAAGGCAGCUUACCAAGCUACUUCUGACGUUGAGGCACGAAAGCGUGGGGAGCAAACAGGAUUAGAUACCCCAGUAGUC
rnacentral:rRNA from 1 species